AUCCUUACCUGGUAGAGGAGACAUCAUGACCAGGAAUGUGUUUUUUUCCAAGGUUGAGGCUCACCUCCUAUAUUUCAGGUGUACUGACCACUGUGAGGUGCCCAAAUGUGGGAAACUGGACUGUGUAAUUUGUGGUAAUGGGAGACUGCAUCCUGGCAUUCUCCCC